UUUAUUGGAGAGUUUGAUCCUGGCUCAGGAUGAACGCUGGCGGCGUGCCUAAUAAGUGCCAGUCGAGCGAAUGGA
rnacentral:rRNA from 1 species